rnacentral:rRNA from 1 species
UACGUAGGGGGCAAGCGUUGUCCGGAAUUAUUGGGCGUAAAGAGCGCGUAGGCGGUCCGAUAAGUCGGCUGUGAAAGUCAUGGGCUCAACCCAUGAAAGCCGGCCGAUACUGUCGGACUAGAGUCCGGAAGAGGCAAGUGGAAUUCCCGGUGUAGCGGUGAAAUGCGCAGAUAUCGGGAGGAACACCAAUGGCGAAGGCAGCUCGCUGGGACGGUACUGACGCUAAGGCGCGAAAGCGUGGGGAGCGAACAGG